CCCUUAGAUGUCCGGGGCCGCACGCGCGCUACACUGCAGGAAUCAGCGUGGCUUUCUCCCUGACCCGAAAGGGUUGGGAAACCCGUUGAAUCUCCUUCGUGAUAGGGAUUGGGGCUUGAAAUUGUUCCCCAUGAACGAGGAAUUCCCAGUAAGCGCGAGUCAUAAGCUCGCGUUGAUUACGUCCCUGCCCUUUGUACACACCGCCCGUCGCUACUACCGAUUGAACGGUUUAGUGAGGGCCUCGGAUUGGUCUCGGCCCGCUCUUUACCGGGCGGCGCCGUUGGUCGAGAAGACGCUCGAACUUGAUCGUUUAGAGGAAGUAAAAGUCGUAACA
rnacentral:rRNA from 1 species